rnacentral:rRNA from 1 species
GGGAACCUUACCAGGGCCAGACAUAGGAAGGAUUGACAGGAUGCUAGUUCUUUCUUGAUUCUAUGGGUGGUGGUGCAUGGCCGUUUCUAGUUGGUGGAGUGAUUUGUCUGGUUGAUUCCGUUAACGAACGAGACCUUUUCUUCCAAAUUGCUGUUGCGCUAUUUUUAUAGUGCGCAGUAACUAGGAGUACAACAUGUGGAAAGCAUGGGGAAGAGAAAGGCGAAAA